rnacentral:rRNA from 1 species
CCUACGUGCGGCAGCAGUGGGGGAUAUUGCACAAUGGGGGAAACCCUGAUGCAGCGACGCCGCGUGUGGGAAGACGGUCCUCUGGAUUGUAAACCACUGUCCCCAGGGACGAAGAUGACGGUACCUGGGGAGGAAGCUCCGGCUAACUACGUGCCAGCAGCCGCGGUAAUACGUAGGGAGCGAGCGUUGUCCGGAAUUACUGGGUGUAACGGGAGCGUAGGCGGGACUGCAAGUUGGGUGUCAAAUCUACCGGCUCAACCGGUAGCCGCACUCAAAACUGCAGUUCUUGAGUGAAGUAGAGGCAGGCGGAAUUCCUAGUGUAGCGGUGAAAUGCGUAGAUAUUAGGAGGAACACCAGUGGCGAAGGCGGCCUGCUGGGCUUUUACUGACGCUGAGGCUCGAAAGUGUGGGGAGCAAACAGGAUUAGAUACCCCAGUAGUC